rnacentral:misc_RNA from 1 species
UACGGAGGGUCCGAGCGUUGUCCGGAAUUAUUGGGCGUAAAGAGCUCGUAGGCGGUGCAUUAAGUCGGAUGUGAAAUCUCACGGCUCAACCGUGAAAUUGCAUAAGAUACUGGUGGACUUGAGACAGGUAGGGGAAGGUGGAAUUCCUGGUGUAGCGGUGAAAUGCGCAGAUAUCAGGAGGAACACCGGUGGCGAAGGCGGCCUUCUGGGCCUGUCCUGACGCUGAGGGGCGAAAGCGUGGGGAGCGAACAGG